rnacentral:rRNA from 1 species
UAAUAAGCUAUUAAGGGCUAAUGGUGGAUGCCUAGACUGUAAGAGGCGAUGAAAGACGUAUUAGGCUGCGAUAAGCCUCGGGGAGCUGCCAAAGAGCUUUGAUCCGGGGAUUUCUGAAUGGGGCAACCCAAUAUAAUGAGAAUUAUAUUACCCUACGGGGAGCGAACCUAGUGAAGUGAAACAUCUCAGUAGCUAGAGGAAGAGAAAUCAAACGAGAUUCCCAAAGUAGCGGCGAGCGAAAUGGGAUUAGGACAAACCCAAUGCUUGCAUUGGGGGUUGUAGGACCAUGAUAUGAGACUAAAGAGGAUAGAUGAAAUACUUGGAAAAGUGUAGCAUAGAAGGUGAAACUCCUGUAAUUAAAAUUCUCAAUAGC